rnacentral:tRNA from 1 species
GCACGGGUAGGGAAGUGGUCAAACCCGCCAGACUCAAGAUCUGGUCGCUUAGUGCGUUCAGCAGUUCAAACCUGCUCCCGUGCA